CCCAGAGACAAAAUUCUUUCACUAUAUUCACCCCUCAGGAAGCGGAGUACAGCUGGGAUAGCGAAAUCUGCCUUCGAGGAGAUUCGCUAGAUUAUGUUGUCCAGUAUAAUUGCUUAUGUGCAAUUUGGAAUUCGGAGGACAUGGGAGAAAAAAUAUGUAGGGAGAGUGCUGCGUUCUGGUACUGUCGACUGUUUGUUAAUACAGAGGUGAAAUUUACAGAAUUUCUUGUUGUUUUUUCCAUCCCAACGAGCUCAUCGAAGACAAGAAGUCAUAUUUACUGUAAUCACGACGGCAGACAGUAGGCGCAGUACUCGGAAUCGUGGCAAGGGUACAACGAAGGAACUAUUACGACGAAUUGAAUGAUUCGUACGAAUCACGAAUCAUCAAAAGCUCUAAAUUGAAGCAACGAGAAAAUGGUUUUAUAUGCAACGAAAGGCAAUACUGGUGAUCACACAAGCCAGCCGGAUAAACGAUCAUCUGCUGAAUUACUAAAGUGUGCCGAUUGCCUGCUAAUCAGCUGUCACUGUCCCCAAAGGAAGAAAAACAGAUCGAUGUAGUCAAGAACGGAACUAUUGUUUUUAUUAUAUUACAAUGUUAUGAUUAUUAUUAUGUAACUGUAAAUGUAGAAUUACUGCUUUUGUAUAUAGCAUAAAUUAUUAGUUACACAGCUUUUUAAAUGAAUAUAGUUAAUUAGAAA